CACUUCCGGCGCACUUCCACCAUGGCUGAAACAAAGGCGAGAUGUCACUGCUCUCUGUUCCACUUUGUACAUCUAACAAACAACACCAACCCUACUUAAGUUUUCAUGGAUUCCCGACUGAAAUGAGUCUAAGGAAGAAGUGGAUUCAAGCGGUUCGCCGGGAUGAAGGGCCAAACUUUAAAAUAAAACAAGGUAGCAUGUUUGUUUGUAGCCGGCACUUUAGUGAAUCAGACUACAAACGCUACAGCUAGCAACCAACCGGGGUCACACCAAGUGACUGAAAAUCGGGUCUUUACCCUCCCGUUUCCAGUGGAACAACUGGGGACUGCCAAGAAGGGGGUCUGUUUAUAAAAGAGCAUCAACUCGCUUAGGCCAUGACGUUCACCCAUCCCUUCCUCUGGAGCAACCGCUGCCCUGUGAAUAAGAGCCGAUGGAGGAGAUCUCAGCUUCGGUGGUGAUGACAGAACAUGAUUUCGGUUCUGCUCCUAAACCAGAGCUGACUGAACGAAGUGGACUGCUGGAUUUACUGGAGCCAGGAGAUGGCUGCAUGGCAGACAAGGGUUUCACCAUAGAGAAGCCACUAGCUGAUCGUGGGGCAACGCUGAUUAUACCACCCUUCAAGAUGACAGUUCACUGAAGAGGAUGCUCUGAAAACACAAGCAAUCGCUCGACUUCGAAUCCUCGUAGAAAGAGCAAUAGGCAGAGUCAAGGAAUACCGCAUCUGGGAACGCACUGUCCUUUCACCUUGUCUGCGACAGUCAAUCAGCUGUGGACCGUCUGCUGUGUGAUGACCAACUUCCAGGGACCACUUGAUUUAAAAGGCUACAUCCCUGUUGAAGUGUUUCUACUCAAACAU